rnacentral:lncRNA from 1 species
GGGCGUUGUUCGUGUGAGAGCGGAGGGUGGCGUGGCCUGCGGUGGUGGGAGUGGACAGGGGAGAGAAGGGAAUGGAUUAGGGGUAUAUUUUGGAGGUAGAACUAAGAGUACUUGGUGAUGGAUGUCGGUGGAGGGUGACGGAGACACAGGUUUAGAGGGUUCCUUUCAGGUUUCUGGUUUGAGCAACUAGCUGGGCUGGAGGGGGUUGGGUGGGAAAACCAGGUGUAGGCAGUGGUGGGGAGGGCAGACCCCAAGCUCACCUUUGGACAUGUUUGAGAUGCCAUGAGACACAUGAGGGAGCUGUCAAGUCAGCGCUGGGUCUGUAAGCCUGCAGGUGGGCUCAGGAAGACCACCCGGGUUGAGCUGCGUCUCUGGGAGCUGUGGGCCCAUCGAUGGUGUUGAAAGAGGUGAAAAGAAGUUCAGUCUCCCAAGGAGACUGUGGAGGUGAGAGGAGAGCGCCGGGCCUGAGCCUGAAGAGGUCAGUAGAUGGGGAGAUGAAGAAGGAAAGUCAGAGAGGAUGGUGGCAAGAAAGCCAAGAAAAGAGAGAGUGGAAGGCGUGUUAACUGAGGAGGAAGAUGGAGGCAUCUGGAACCACUGUGGGAUUCUGUGCAGAGAUUAGGAGUAAGGACAAUAAUGAACACUUAAGGACUCACCGUCUACCAGACAUGGGCUAAAUGCUUUACACCACUUCUCUUAGAUAAUUCUCCCAAGAACUCUGCAGCAUCUCCACUUUACGAAUGAGGAAACGGAAGCACAGCUGUCUUGGGCUUGCCCGGGGCCACACCGCUGAUAGCAGCGGUGCCAGGUCUCACAGUGGUUCUUACUGACUGGAGGCUCUGCACCCAACCAUGGCCCUCACUGCCUUGAUUCUUGGCCCAUACGGGCAAGGAUGGAUGUGCCUUAAACUCACCGUUGGUGCUUUAGAGCUUAGAUUGGGAGGUCUCACUUUAUUGGAGAAUAAACACGAAAACCACUUUGUUUUCUAGUAAUGCCUACUGGCUGUGCUGUGUUGACCAUGACCUGGGCAGCAGGUUCCCUUGGCAACUUCUCAAUUGGGUUCCAUAAUUUUGCACUCACUUCUGCUUAUUGCAACAGUCUCCUGGUUAUUGGAACUUACUCUCAUUCAUUUUGCAAUUUCAACUUCAACUUCAGAGUCCAUUCAGAGCUCCUUGCCUCCUCCCAGCCCUGGCCGUGUCCCUGGAGCCGAGGCUUGGAGAGGAGGAAGGCGUGGUCUGUUUGCUCGCACACCCUCCCUCUCUGUGCAUUUCCCCUGUGUGGUGGUGGUGGCGGGGGUUGGCUGGAGGGAUGGGACAGGGGCUUGCUUGCUUUCUUUCAGGAGGUCAUUGCCUGGUGCAGAUGUUGACCGUGGGUUUGGUGUGGAGAAGUGGAAACCCCAACAAGCCCCCAGGGGUCUGUUGGGAGCUCAGCAAUUUCUAAGCUUUGCGAGCCUGGACCCCAUCUUUCCGACGUCCCCCAGUGGUGGCCUGGUGCCACAUCCUCUUGUUGUCGCCCCGAUUUGGCUCAUGGCUCAGUGGUGUCAGGUGCGCCUGCAGCCCAGUCUCUCCUCUCCGUGGCCUCAUUGCUGGGCUUACGGCAGAGGUAGAUGCAUCUUUAGUUCUUCUGACGCUGGCACUCUCGUUCCAGCCACCUGGCUUCAGGUCCUGCUCGUUGGACAGGGCGGGAAGGCCAAAGGCUACGGAGCCCACCAACCCAGACGCCUUCCUCCGUUUCUUGCAGACGCUGCUAAAUGUGGUGAGGGAGGCUCUGAGGAGAGGGGAGCCACUCUCUUCUGUCACACAGCCUCUGAGUUCCCACGCCUCCCCCCUCACCUCCUCGUGAGGAAGAUCGGCAGGCCAGUUCUCCGCUUCUGCCCCCGAGCGCCGGAGCCCCCUUUGAGCCUGAAGAAUGUGGAACCUUCUGUUUCUGUGUUCCAUGUCUGGGGUCACGUCUAUGACCUCAGAGGUUGAGAGAAGACCCCAGUCAGGGCCUCACUGUUAGGGUUAGGGUUAGCUUGGUGCAGGGGACUGGAUUCCUCUCAGAAAGCUGGCUGCCACGGCAUCUCGGCAACUGUGAAUUUGUAGCUCUAGAGCACCCGGGAAGGGGUAGAAGGACCCGGGAUUGUCCCUUUAGGCUGACCUAGAGAGGAGCAGGGCCAGCUGUGGACUUUUCUCCCUGUUGCUUUGCUUUCCCGAGAGACAGGCCGCGUGAGAGGGUGGCACACUGAUCCUCUCUGGCCAUACAGGGCUCCCGGGGGCCACGAGCAGAGGUGUGGGGCCUGGUGGCCCUGGUCACCCUGAAAAAGGCAAAUCGACACUACAUCUUCCUCAGGAAGGAAAUGGCUCCAGUUCCAACCCCACGGCUGACACUGUUGGCUGCCUUUCUGAGGAAGCGACAGGAGAGAGAGGGUGGUGCGAUUGGCCAGUCUUUGCAGGAACCGGGCCUGGUGAUGGUCACCAGGGCUCCUGAUGGAUAUGAUGACAUAGAGGCUGCCCUCGAAAUGCCAGCGAGGUGGUUAAAAGCACUGGCCAGAAUAGUUGCUAUGAAAGCUACAAAAAAUGCAAGACAGAAUCUGGCCUCUGUAUGCAGAGAACAAUUAAUACAUGUAAAAUGCUAAGCUGUGGAAAAACCCCAAAGAGGUGAUCAGUAGUAGGCCAUUUAAGGACCUAUGUGUGUUUUUAAUAAAAUAUUAAUUUAAAAAACUUUGCUAGAAAUUUAUGCUAAGAUGACAAAGAUUGCCACUGCUAGGAUCAAGGAAGCCGGACUGAAAUUCAGCCGUCCGGAAAGGCUCUGCCACUGGUCGUGGGCUGCAGCUUGUUCAGGGUGAAGCAGGUACCGACGGGAGCCGGCUUUGCUGUGCAGGUGACACACAGGAAACGCUGUAACACAAUAUCCUUGAACUCCUGGAUUUGCACCCUCCCCCCAUCCCAUUUAGGGCAGAGAUUGGACUGCUCUGCCUCCAGUGCUGCCAUUGGAAGUCAGCUUUCCGUACACACUGUGAUAAAACCGAAAGCUUGGAAUAGGAACCAUCUGACAACACUGUGCCGAGUCCCGCAAUCUCAUCAUAAGGACUGGUGCAUCCAAACCACAAAGAGUUUCAACUUUUGCUAUUGUCUUAGAAAUUUUUCAAGAGACACCAUCUGUGUGGUUGUAUGUUUAAUUAAAGUUCAUUAUUCAACCUUGAGCACAACUUUUUUUUCAGAUUGGUUUAAAAAUCAUUUCCAGGGAUCAUGAUAGAGCUUUCUGUUCCUAAGCUCAGAAGGUUUAAUGACAACCUGCUUCUAAGUUAUACUUUCUAUCACUGUAGUGGAUCCCAACUCCCAUACCCACUUCUGUCAUCAGCAUCUCAAAAUCCCUUCAGGGGACCACAGCACAUGUGCCAGGUGUGUCUCCUCAUCACCCACCUAGAGAUGAGCAUGACCUCUCGGUCAGAUCAACCACAAAGGCCAUUCCCCAGGCCACUGGUUGACUGAGUGAUGGGCAAGUGUCCUGAAGCAGGCCAAUGAGAAGCAGUCUGGGAGUGUUGUCUGUAGGUACUUGGAAAGGUGCUCUUUCCACUGGAGCGGCUGAACUGGGAGACUGUGAGCCUGGAGUGGCUGGUGGUCAUCUUGACAGAACAGGGAACAAGGUCAACACAGAGGAAAGCAGGGCUGAGAUAAAUCUAGUUCUCUCUCUCGUCUAUCUUUCUAAUCUUCUAUCUAUCUAUCUAUCAUGUAUCGAUCGAUCUAUAUCUAUCAAUCUUCUAUCAUCUACCUAUCUAUCUUCUAUUGAGAUUCCUGAUGGCAUAAUGGGAGCACUUGAAUCCAGCCAGGCAAGAGGGUACUCACUCUCUUGGAUAGAUUCCUAGGAGUGUAUAUACGGGAUUGCUGGGUCAGAAGGUAACUCUCUGUGUUUAACUUUUUGAAGAACUGCCAAAUGGUUUUCCAAAGUGGCUGCAUCAUUUUAUAUUCCCACCGACAAUGCACUGAAGGUUCCAAUUUCUCCAUAUCCUCGCCACACUUGUUACUGUCUGUCUUUUUUAUUGUAGCCAUUCUGGUGAGUGUUCUUGUGGUUUUUAUUUGCAUUUCCCUAUUGACUAAUAACUGGGCAUCUUUUCGUAUGCUUGUUAACCAUUUGUGUGUCUUCUUUGGAGAACUGCCUCAUCAGACCCUUUGCCCAUUUUUAAAUUGAGCUUUUUGUUGAGUUGUAGGUGUAAAUGUUCCCUCUUUUUCUAUAUUUUGAGGACAAGUCAUUUAUCAGAUGUAUGAUUUGACUAUAUUUUACCCUUUCUGUGGGUUGUCUUUUCACUUUCUUGAUGGUAUCAUUUGCAGUACAAAAGUUUUUAAUUUUGAUGAACUCCAAUUUAUCUAUUUUCUGUUUUGUUGCUGUGCUUUUGGUGUAAUAACUAAGAAACUAUUGCCCAAGCCAAGGUCAUGAAGACUUACUUCCAUGUUUUCUUCCAAGAUUUUUAUAGUUUUAGCUCUUUUUUUUAGGUUUAUGAUCCAUUUUGAGUUAAUUCUUACGUAUGAUGUGAGGAAGGGGGUCAAGCUCAUUCUUUUUUGUAUGGCUAUCCAGUUGUCCCUGCACCAUUGUUGAUGGUGAGGAAGAUUGUCACUGAGUUAACAUCUGUGCCAAUCUGCCUCUAUUUUGUAUGUGGGAUGUCUCCACAGCAUGGCUUGAUGAGUGGUAUGUAAGUCCACGCCCAGGAUCCGCACUGGCAAACCCUGGGCCGCUGAAGUGGAGCAUGCAAACUUAACCACUACGUGACUGGGCCGCUCCCCCAGCACCAUUUUUUGAAAAGACUAUUCUGGCCCCAUUUUUGUUGUCUCAGUACCCCUGUUGAAAAUCAAUUGAUCAUAGAUUUAAGGUUUAUUUCUCAGCUGCCAAUUCUAUUCUGUUGAUCUGUAUGUCUAUUCCUGUGCCAGUAGCAUACUCUUGAUUACUGUAGCUUUACAGUAAGUUUGAAAUUGGGAAGCACAAGUCUUCCAAAUUUGUUCUUUGUUUUCAAGGUUAUUUUGGCUAUUCUGGGUCCCUUGUUUUUCCAGAUGAAUUUUAGAAUCAACUUGUAAUUUCUGUCAAAAAAAGGAGUCAGCUGGGAUUUUGAAAGGGAUUGUAUUGAGUCUGUAGAUCAAUUUAUGGAGUAUUGCCAUCUUAACAAUAUCAUGUCCUCCAAUCCAUGAACAUGGGAUGUCUCCUCAUUUAUUUAGAUCUGUUAAAAUUUCUUUCAACAAUGUUUUGUAGAUUUCAGUGUAUGGAUCUUGUGCUUUUUAUUCCUCAGUAUUUGAUUCUUUUUGAUGCCAUUGUAAAUGGAAUUGUUUUCUUAAUUUUAUUUUUGGAUUUUUCUUUGCUUGUGUGUAGAACUGCAACUGAUACUUACAUAUUGAUCUUGUAUUCUGCAACCUUGCCAAACUUGUUCAUUAGUCCUAAGGGUUUUCAGUAGAUUCUUUAGGCUUUUCUAUAUACAAGAUCAUGUCAUCAUGAUUAGAGAAUUUUACUUCUUCCUUUCCAACCUUGAUGCCUUUUAUUCUUCUUCAUGCCUAAUUGCCUAGCUAGAACCUCCCGUACGUUGUUGAAUAGAAAUGACAAGGGUGGAUGUCUUUGUCUUGUUCCUAAUUUGAAUGGGAAAGCAUUCAAUACUUUAUCAUUAACUAUGAUGUUAGUUGUACUUUUUCAUAGAUACUUUUAUCAGGUUGCAGAAGUUCCCUUCUAUUCCUAGAUUUUUAUAGUGAAAAUCUCCUGGGUUUUGUCAUAUGUAUUUUCUGCAUCUAUUGAGAUGCUCAUGUGGAUUUUGUUCUUUAUUCUACUAAUAUGGUAUAUUGCAUUGGUUUUUGGAUGUUAAACGAACCUUGUAUUCAUGGGAUAAAUCCCAGUUGGUCGUGGAUAGAAUUCUUUUAUAUGAUGCUGGAUUUGGUUUGCUAGUAUUUUGCUCAGGAAUUUUGCAUCUAUAUUUAUAAGGGAUAUCAGUCUGUGGUGUAUUUGUCUGGUUUUGGUAUCAGGUUAGUGCUGACCUCAUGAAAUGACUUGGAAAGAACUACUUCUCUAUUUUUUGGUAGAGUUUGCAAAAAUGGCAUCAAUUCUUCUUUAAAUGUUUGGUAGAAUUCACCAGUGAAGCCAUCUGGGCCGGGCUUUUCUUUGUGGGAAGUUUUAAAAUGACUAAUUCAAUCUCUUGUUACAGGUCUAUUAAGAGUAUCUAUUUCUUUUUGAGUCAGUUUUGGUAGUUUGUAUCUUUCUAGGAAUUUGCCCAUUUUGUCUAACCUGUCUCAUUUGUUGGCAUACAAUUGUUCACAUUUCCUUAUGACUUCCAGUUUCCGGUCUGGCACGUAAAGAGCUUGGAAGUUAUAGUUGCCAUCCUCACAAAAGCAAACAAGCUGAACAAACCAAAAACUGACAACUCUUCUUAUGUUCAACAGAGAAUUGAGGUCAUAGGGGAAACCGCUGCCCGCAAACUGCAGGGAGAGGCGGAUAGAAGAGUCACAGCUUACCAGGAGGAGAAGGCCAGGAGCAGACGUCAGCCACUGGAGCGGUCCUGGUGGGAAAGCUUAACCUGAGAUUGAUGAAUUGCUAUAGGCUCGGUGUGGACUAGCUUGAGAAUUAAAAACUCUGAGGGUCCCUCCUUAGACAAAUCCCCACAUUUUACGAGUUUUAACCCUAGGAACCUCAUCAGGUUCUCAGUGUGAAUAUUGGGUGUCUCCUUGUGCUUUUAGCAGGAGGAGAGCAAAAGUAACCAUUGUGAAAUAUGCCCAGAAGAUUCUGUGCUCCUUAACAAAAGAGUGCCCUCAAAAGAAACUAUUUUUGCCAGUCUAGUGAAUCUGGGGAAAGAGAAAUACCCAACUCCAGCCCCGUCCAGCCCUUGAUGUGGAGGAGGAGAAAUGGCCAACUCCAGCCCCCACUAGCCUUCCUGUGUCACCUCUGGGGGAAAAAACCUAAGAAGAGCUUGUGAAGAUCGCAGCCCAGGGGCAGACUCACACAACAAUGGAGACCUAGUUUUGGGAUACAGCAUGCUUCCCUUCCCCCACACCUUAUCACUACAUCAAUCAAGCUCCUGCAUGAUAGCAGCAGGUUGUAGGUAAAAGAAUGGCAGGGCUCAGACUCCAUCUAAUGCAGUGUCAGAAAACCCAGAGAUGACAGGGGAACAAAAAUAAGGACGCUAAAGGAAAUCUUAGCCUUUUAUGCUCACUGUUACAGCAAACAGUAAACACAGCUUAACACCUAGCCAGACAAACAUAAAACCUCACACCAAAGGCUUAUUCACUUCAGUUCCUUUUACCCAGUAUGUCGUGUCUGGCUUUCAAAAAAAAAAAAAAAAAAAAUGACAGGAUGUAUCAAAAGGCAAAAGACACAGUUUGAAAAGACAAAACAAGUAUCAGAACCAGACUCAGAUAUGGCAGAGAUUUUGGAAUUACUGGCCUGGGAAAUAAAAUAACAGAUUCAUAUGCUAAGGGCUGUAAUGGAAAAAGUGGACAACAUGCAAGAACAGAUGAGUGAUGUAAGUAGAGAGAUGGAAACUCCAAGAAUAAGUUAAAAGAAAGUGUUAGAAAUAAAAAACACCAUAACAGAAAUGAAAAAUGCCUUUGAUGGGCUCCUCAGUAGACUGGACACAGCUGAGGAAAGAAUCAGUGAACUAGAAGGUAGAAACUUCCAAAACUGAAAAGCAAUGAUAAAAAUGAAUGAAAAAAUGGAAGCAGAAUAUCCAAGAACUGUGG